rnacentral:rRNA from 1 species
CCUACGGGUGGCAGCAGUAGGGAAUCUUCCACAAUGGGCGAAAGCCUGAUGGAGCAACGCCGCGUGGGUGAAGAAGGUCUUCGGAUCGUAAAACCCUGUUGUUAGAGAAGAAAGUGCGUGAGAGUAACUGUUCACGUUUCGACGGUAUCUAACCAGAAAGCCACGGCUAACUACGUGCCAGCAGCCGCGGUAAUACGUAGGUGGCAAGCGUUAUCCGGAUUUAUUGGGCGUAAAGGGAACGCAGGCGGUCUUUUAAGUCUGAUGUGAAAGCCUUCGGCUUAACCGGAGUAGGUCAUUGGAAACUGGGAGACUUGAGUGCAGAAGAGGAGAGUGGAACUCCAUGUGUAGCGGUGAAAUGCGUAGAGAUAUGGAAGAACACCAGUGGCGAAAGCGGCUUUCUGGUCUGUAACUGACGCUGAGGUUCGAAAGCGUGAGUAGCAAACAGGAUUAGAUACCCGAGUAGUC